UUGUAUUAGGGAUGGAAGUGGCAUCCUUUUGUUGGUCCUAGGUAAUUAAAAAAACUACAACUUAAUUCUAUCCCUAUAAAGAAAAUUAACAUCUGCACAACAAAAGAUACAACGUACAGCCCGCCCCCUU
rnacentral:sRNA from 1 species